UGAUGAUUCGUAGUGAUGUUCCUAAAUUAUUUUUCACUUCUACUGACUUGCAUACCAUCGUUUAAAAUUGCAUUUCUAUUCCAUCCUAUAUUACGAUAAAUUUAACAUUUCGAUUCAGAUAUUCAUCGCAUUGAUGCUUUAUUAUAUCAUAAACCAAGUGCGGAGUUUUAUAUAUUUAUGAGAAAUCUGAAAGCAAAAAAAUGCUCAUUAUUACACAUUAAUAUACCUAGACCUAACGCAAGUCUCUAACAAAUUUUACUUCACGUAGUAUUUUACUUAAUGCACAUAUAAUGCGAAUGGAUUAACAGAUUAAUAAUAAAAUAGCUAAGAAAUAAUACUAGUGGAAAGCAUUCGUGCUAACAUCGCGAAGAAUCCAUUUACCUAUAGCCUGCGGUAUGUAUUAAUUAUAAAUAUAUUAGUGUUAAGGUAUAGAGAGGAUUCGGGAAAAUAAAUAAUUUACUUUAUUCACACACAACAGCUAUACAUAUAUAUUACACUCUGAAGACCUCGCUUAUCAUCUUACACGCACGCUUGUUGUCAACAUACUAUUCUAGAUUCUUCUAACAGUUACCAAUUGUCUUUUGUCUUAUGUGAGACCUGAACUUCCUCUGACGCUUACACACAUUGACAUGUACAGUAUAAUGUAUCAUCUACCUAACAAUUAGUAGUAUAUAUUAAAAAUACAAAUUUGCGUAAAUAUUCGCAGUGUAAUUAUAAAACGACCGCACUACAAUUAACAUAUGCUAUAUGUUAUAUAUGCAUUAACUGUUUCUCAUUCCAGGAACGAUAACCAUGUGCUUGGUCGGUACAGUCUACGGAUGGACAAACUCUUCAUUUCUCCCUCUAACAACUGGAAUCGACGACGUGCCGCUAAGGUUAACAAACGACGAACAUUCAUGGAGCGUUUCUUUGACAGUACUUAGUUCAAUGAUCGGUUCACUUCUGGCUGCGCACUUGGCCGAUCGCAUCGGUCGUAAAUACUGCCUUAUUGCAUGCAGCAUAAUGUUCACCUUAGGCUGGCUCCACAUGUACUUCGCAACUUCUGUGCGAAUGCUAUACUUUGCCAGAGGGAUUCUCGGUAUAGGCGUUGGUAUUGCCCGCACGAUAAAUCCCAUGUUCCUGUCAGAAGUUGCCGACAUCAAACUCAGAGGACGCCUAGGUACUUUAAUCGCAGCGAACGUACAUUUCGGGACACUACUAGGCUAUAUUCCUGGACUCGCGCUGACGUACACGUCACACCUGCUGGCUAUUGUAGGAAUAUCCGCUAUAUCCAUCUUGCCGCUCAUAUACAUACGCGAAACUCCGUAUUUCUUGGUGGCAAAAGGUCAAGAGGAGCAAGCAUGCAAGUCGAUAGCAUAUUACAAAGGCAUCGAAUAUCCUGAUCAAGUGAGAGUAGAACUACGUGCUCUACGCGCAGAAGCCAGAUACGGAUUACACCAACAAUCCACAAGCGAUUUACACUCACAAUCCAGAAGUAAUUCAUCCCCACCAUACAGUAGCAUUUUCCCCUCAGCAUCAUCUAGCGAUUUACUCCCUCCGUACAGUAGCAUUUUGCCCGCAGCAUCGAGUAGCGAUUUACUCCCACCGUACAGUAGCAUUUUACCACCACCAUCAAGAAGCAAUUUAUCCCCAUCGUACAGAAGCAAUUUGCCCUCACAAUCUAUACGCGAAACACACUCAGACCCCACACAGGAAGUAGUAGGCACAGAAGCCACGUCCGAUGUAAACUUACCAUCCAGUAGCGACUCACACUCACAAUCCAUAACCUCAGUACACUCAAAAUUCAAAUGCGAAGUACGUAAACAAGCCACGGGCGAAUAUAUCGUAGAAUACUCGGGCGUCUCGCACGGACUACCACUCCAAACCACACGCGAAUUACACUCACAAUCCGCAAGCGACUUGCACCGACCAUCCACUAGCCAAAUACACCGGCCCCCGACAAGCCAAAUACACCCAGACUCCACAUGCGAAAUACACCAAGCAUCCACAAGCGAAAAGCAUCCAGAAGCAACAUGCGAAAUACACCCAGAAACCACAAGCGAAAUACUCCCAGAAACCACAAACGAUAUACACCGACCAUCCACAAGCCAAAUAAACCGACCAUCCACAAGCGAAAUACCUCCAAAAAUCACAAGAGAAAUACACCCAGAAGCAACAAGCGAAAUACACCCAGAAACCAUAAGCGGAAUACACCAAGAAGCAACAGGCGAAAUACACCCAGAAGCAACUAGCGAAACACACCAAGAAACCACAAGCGAAAUAUACCCAGAAACCACAAGAGAAAUACACCCAGAAACCACAAACGAAAUACACCGACCAUCCACAAGCCAAAUACACCGACCAUCCGCAAGCGAAAUACCUCCAGAAAUCACAAGAGAAAUACACCCAGAAACCAUAAGCGGAAUACACCAAGAAGCAAUAAGCGAAAUACACCUGGAAGCAACAAGCGAAACACACCCAGAAACCACAAGCGAAAUACACCCAGAAGCAACAAGCGAAAUACACCCAGAAACCACAAGAGAAAUACACCCAGAAACCACAAGCGAAAUACACCCAGAAGCAACAAGCGAAAUACACCCAGAAACCACAAGAGAAAUACACCCAGAAACCACAAACGAAAUACACCGACCAUCCACAAGCCAAAUACACCGACCAUCCAUCAGCCAAAUACUCCCCGAAACGAGAAGCGAACUACACUCACGAGCCAGAAGCGAUUUACGCACACAAUUCAGAGUGGAUUCACGAGCAUCAACGGACAUAUCUGAGCCAUACAUGGAUUUAACUAAAUAUACCUGUUUAGAAAAGCUGCGAGCAAUACUACAACGAAGCAACAAGAGAGCUCUGUUUAUCAUGCUUGGCUUGAUCAUGGCUCAACAUCUUAGCGGUAACUUCACCGCUACGCAGUACCUGGAAGAUAUCAUUAGCAGAAAUGCGUCCAUUAUACUUGGAUAUAGCGAUAUGAUUUGUUUGGAGAUUGUCCGCCUUUUAUCUACCUAUAUAUUCGCAUUAAUAGUGGAUUCGUGUGGAAGAAGAAAACUUUUAAUUAUGUCUGCGACUGGGACGAUUUAUAUAUCGUUUCUUUUAACAUUCUAUUUUUACUCACCUAAACAUAGUUCUAUCGAUUCCGCCAUGUCUUUUAUUCCCAUUUCCCAUUUUCUUUUGUAUCAAGUAGUGUUUCACAUUGGUUUAGGUGUAUUACCAAAUGUUUUCCUAUGCGACUUAUUUCCUACGAAACUAAAAGGCAUUGUUGGUGCCAUCGUUGUGAUUUUCGAUGGCAUAAUUGGUUUUACCGCGUCGAAACUGACUCAAGUGAUUACCGAUAAUAUAGGAGUGUUUGGGAAUUACGCGUUCUUCUGGAUAUCAUGCUUAAUGGCAUUAGUGAUGAUGUUCGCAUGGGUACCGGAAACGGGAGGAAAAACAUAUCGCGAGAUUGAAGAGCUUCUACUUGGUGAAAAUUUUAAUUUUUUGAAUGAAGAAAUUAGCACCAAUGAAAUGGAUAUUCAUGGAAUAUGACAGGAAAAAUUGCACUGUACAUCCAUGGCGCGGUGUCUGCUUUUUCGGAAUAUUUUACUUCUUAUUUUUAGUAGUAUAACGAUAAAGAUCUUCAAUUUUAUCACGAUAUGCAAUUUCUGUAGUAACGGAGUUUUAUACGUUUCUAAGUGUAAUUUUAGAAAUGUGUCUAACAAAGCUGAUGGUCAUUUACAAACAUAGCCAUCCUAUAAAUUGACUUGCAUUGAACUUAGAGGAACACAUGUUCUCAAACUAAGCUUUUUAUCCAUUUGAUAACACGAAAAAUAUCAAUUAACUCGAAAUAAUGGAACAACAGUUUGCAAAAGUAAGAAAAGUAAUAUAUUAAAGAAUGACAAGGUGACAUAAUACUGAUAAGAACAAUUUUUAAUAUCACAGCUGUUACCUAUGCUGUUAUUUUUUGUGUUGCAAUAUAUAACAUAUGUAUAUUACAUAUACAUAUGCUAAUAUUGUCACAAUAAACAGCAGGUAUGUUGAAGAAGGCAGUAUUUAUAGAGAAAAUAAUAGAUUAUAAUUAACAUACCACAUUGAUAAUAACUACUUAUAUUACAUUGUGGUUGUCGCUGAUAAGCAUAUGUAUAUGCAUAUGCAAUUAUAUAUAUAUGUAAGACAUGGUCUCUUCGGCGUUAUAAUAUAGUUAUUACUGAAAAAUAUUUGAAUAUGUCAGUUCGAAUAUUACAGUAAUUACUGUAUGAUAACAUAGUGAUAAAUACCUAACCUUGUCCAAUAGAAAUUCCAUCGAACUGUUGAAUGUUAUCUUCAGUAAAUAAUGGCUAUAAUAAUAGUGCUCACUUCAGAAAUUUAUAAUAUUUCCUACCUUUAAUAUACGAUACUUGACGCGAAAAAAUAA